ACCGCGGAGCGGGAGCUUCCGGCUACGAACUUUUCACCCGAGAGAAGUCUGAUUCUUCAAGGCUAGUCACAGCAGAGACCAUUUACACUACGCCGAGCUGGAGAGAUGAUUCAUCAAUGCAAAGUCAGAAGAAAUGCAUGGUGGUCUAGCUUUCUCUCAUUGGCUGCUGAAUUUUGAUUCCAUGUCCUGAAGUCUGACCAUCUUGGAAGACACAACCAACAGCAGUGUCCAAGAGCUGGGACUAUGGGAUGUUGGAGAUCAACUUCCAGUCUGAACUUUGGAGGGACACAUUCAGACCAUGGCAAGAGUAUCUAAGAAGAGAGUGGCUUCAACUUGAAGGCAGAAAGAGACCAGGAGGAGGCCAGCAGCUGGCCACAUCGUCCUCAGCCAGGCAGUGAGUUCUCUCUUGAGCAGGGACCACUUAUGUCUAAACAUACCACAAACACACAUGCUUAUUAAAUUCUAAUAAGCAUUUAAUGAUGUAUAUCUAAAAUAAUUCACAUUUCUAUGUACUUAUUAAAACAUAUCAAAAUUAAAAUAUACAAUGAAACAGUUCCAACACCCUAGAUACUCCUUUUAUUUUUUUCCUAGAUAGUAUUAACCAGAAAUAACCAUUAUUUCAACUUUCUCACUUAGAUCAGCUUUGCCAGAUCUAGUUUCAUACAACUGAAAUCAUAGAUACAUACCCCUUU